rnacentral:rRNA from 1 species
UACGAAAGGUGCAAGCGUUACUCGGAAUCACUGGGCGUAAAGCGCGCGUAGGCGGUCUUGUAUGUCGAUUGUGAAAGCCCCGGGCUCAACCUGGGAACUGCAGUCGAAACUGCAAGACUUGAAUGUUGGAGAGGGUGGGGGAAUACCUAGUGGAGAAGUGAAAUUCGUAGAGAUUAGGUGGAACACCAGAGGCGAAGGCGCCUGCCUGGCCAAACAUUGACGCUGAGGCGCGAAAGCGUGGGGAGCAAACAGG